rnacentral:rRNA from 1 species
UACGUAGGGUGCAAGCGUUAAUCGGAAUUACUGGGCGUAAAGCGUGCGCAGGCGGCUCGGAAAGAAAGAUGUGAAAUCCCAGGGCUUAACCUUGGAACUGCAUUUUUAACUGCCGGGCUAGAGUAUGUCAGAGGGGGGUAGAAUUCCACGUGUAGCAGUGAAAUGCGUAGAGAUGUGGAGGAAUACCGAUGGCGAAGGCAGCCCCCUGGGAUAAUACUGACGCUCAUGCACGAAAGCGUGGGGAGCAAACAGG